rnacentral:rRNA from 1 species
UACGUAGGGUGCAAGCGUUAAUCGGAAUUACUGGGCGUAAAGCGUGCGCAGGCGGUUUCGUAAGUCUGUCGUGAAAUCCCCGGGCUUAACCUGGGAAUUGCGAUGGAGACUGCGAGGCUAGAGUUUGGCAGAGGGGGGUAGAAUUCCACGUGUAGCAGUGAAAUGCGUAGAGAUGUGGAGGAACACCGAUGGCGAAGGCAGCCCCCUGGGUCAAAACUGACGCUCAUGCACGAAAGCGUGGGGAGCAAACAGG